UAGCUACUCUCACAAUUCUUUUGCUUUUGUACUUCCCCUUAGAGAAACCCAUCUGUUGCCUCCUUUUUUUUAUGCUCUUUCAAUUUACUUUUGUAUUUCCUGUUCUUUCCAACCAUAGACGACAUGCAAUGAAUAUUAGGACAGACAUUGAUUUAUUUGACUGCAUAUAAACAUAUUAGAGUGGGAUAAUUAGCCUUAGCGGUAGUUUUUGUCUUUGUGAUGUUAAUUAAUUGGGUGGUAUAUGCUUAAUUUAAUUCUUUAGUUGUGUGUCUUUUUCAAUUAUUUACUUCUUAUUUGCAUCUAGGAAUAUAUGUAGGUGUUAUAUAUGUUGAUUGUGGAAAACUCAUGGUUUGCUUUUUUUUUUUUUUUUUUUCCUUUUUCUAUAGGCUCCUAAUACAUAAGCUAUUUUUGAUUGAAGAUCUCAAUUUCACUGCAAGCCGAAAAUCUACUUCCGCAUACAAGAUGAAGAUAUAUAUUUAUUGAGCUACAAUCAUAAAUGGAGAAUCGUCACAAAUUAAUGAGCAAAUCUUUACACCUAGGAUCAACAUGGAAAGAGAAGAAGAAGAAGAAGCAGCAGCAGAAAGACCCAACGAAGUGAAACAAAGUGAGACACGGAAGAAAACCAAAUAAUUGAAGCAGUGGAAAAAGAAGGGUGUUAACAUCAAUGGGUAGUCCAAAAGACAUGUGCAUUAGUUAAUGAGACUAGCUGGUAUGAAUCUGCAAGUGAUUAGACACGUGUGAAAGCUUAAGGACACAGUGGGAAUUGUACAAGAGGUGAGGGUGGAUCCCCGCUAAGCAUCCAUAGUUGAAUGGUUAAAAACAAUGCGCUUCGUUUUCAAUUAGGCAAUGGAACGUAAUGGAAAAUUGGUUAGUAUUCUCAAUGUUACACAAAGUACAAUGUUUUCAGCAUGUGUUCGUAACCUUACUCCAUUUCUAUAAUAUAGAAAAAAAAUAUGUUUGUAACUUUAGGAAAUUAGAAAUUGGAACAAGCUAUUAAUUAUUUAUAGUUUAUAGUAUUUUAAUUAUAUAGAAGUAUGGGUUUAGACCCAUGCUUUGUCGUCCGUCCUCCAUUAAAAAAAAAAUGAAUCCCAUAUUAAAAAACAAACAAUGUAAAAAAAAAAGUGCAUCUCAUAUUAAAAAAUCAAAUAAUAUUCAUGUCAUUUCCAAAGUAUCUCAUUAAAUCAAUAAUGAUGGAUUCAUUGACACAUGCGUAUCAACUCAUUAGUGGGAGCAAAUGAAAUUAUUGCACAGCAAAAAACAUGAACCCCAUAUUAUUGUUUUUCUUCAAAAGGUUAA